rnacentral:tRNA from 1 species
ACUGCCCCGACGAUUGGUUCGAUGAUCGCUGGGCUGCAGACCCAGGAAGCGCUCAAACUGCUGCACGGUCUGCCUGUGCAAGCCGGCGCGGCGAUG